UACAGAGAGAAGCAGGGAUAAGAUGCAGCUUCCUAUCCCUGUCUCUGUGUAUGGAGAGAGACAGGGAUAGGAAGCUGCAUCUUAUCCCUGCUUCUCUCUGCUG